rnacentral:rRNA from 1 species
GGAUAAUCUGCCCUUAGGCGGAGGAUAAUCUCGGGAAACUGAGAAUAAUACUCCAUAGGCCUAGGAUGCUGGAAUGCAUCUAGGCUGAAAAUUCCGGUGCCUAAGGAUGAGUCUGCGGACUAUCAGGUUGUAGUCAGGGUAAUGACCUGACUAGCCUACGACGGAUAUGGGUUGUGAGAGCAAUAACCCAGAGAUGAUAUCUGAGACACGAUAUCAGGCCCUACGGGGCGCAGCAGGCGCGAAAACUUCACACUGUGCGAAAGCACGAUGAGGGAAUCCCAAGUGCUUGCACGUAAGUGUAAGCUGUUUUUAUGUUUAAAACGCAUAGAGAGUAAGGGCUGGGUAAGACGGGUGCCAGCCGCCGCGGUAAUACCUGCGGCUCUAGUGGUGGCCGCUAUUAUUGGGCCUAAAGCGUUCGUAGCCGGUCGGGUAAAUGCUUGGGUAAAUCGCGUGGCUCAACCAUGCGAAUUCCUAGUAGACUGCCCGACUAGGGACCGGGAGAAGUUGGAAGAAUUCCAGGGGUAGGGGUGAAAUCCCGUAAUCCUUGGAGAACUACCGGUAGCGAAGGCGUCCGACUAGAACGGGUCCGACGGUGAGGGACGAAGCCCUGGGGAGCGAACCGGAUUAGAUACCCGGGUAGUCCAGGGUGUAACGAUGUGGGCUUCGCAUUGGANGUCCAAUGAGGGCGUCCAGUGCGGGAACGAAGGCGUUANCCCCCCGCCUGGGAAGUACGGUCGCANGCUGAAACUCANCCUUU